rnacentral:sRNA from 2 species
ACGUACAGGAAGUACGUUGCGGUGGCUGCGCUCCGUCCGCCUUGCCUGAGGCCUGCUCGCUACGCUUCCUCAGCC